rnacentral:rRNA from 1 species
UACAGAGGCCUCGAGCGUUAGGCGGAAUCACUGGGCUUAAAGCGUGUGUAGGCGGAUCGUUAAGUACCUUGUGAAAUCCCACGGCUUAACCAUGGAAUUGCUUGGUAUACUGGCGGUCUUGAGCCACUUAGGGGCUACCGGAACAAAUGGUGGAGCGGUGAAAUGCGUAGAUAUCAUUUGGAACGCCAAUGGUGAAAACAGGUAGCUGGGAGUGUGCUGACGCUGAGACACGAAAGCCAGGGGAGCAAACGGG